UACGUAGGGUCCGAGCGUUGUCCGGAAUUAUUGGGCGUAAAGGGCUCGUAGGCGGUCUGUUGCGUCGGGAGUGAAAACUUACAGCUUAACUGUGAGCGUGCUUCCGAUACGGGCAGACUUGAGGUAUUCAGGGGAGAACGGAAUUCCUGGUGUAGCGGUGGAAUGCGCAGAUAUCAGGAGGAACACCGGUGGCGAAGGCGGUUCUCUGGGCAUUACCUGACGCUGAGGAGCGAAAGUGUGGGGAGCGAACAGG
rnacentral:rRNA from 1 species